GAUGAACGCUGGCGGCGUGCCUAAUACAUGCAAGUCGAGCGAAUGGAUUAAGAGCUUGCUCUUAUGAAGUUAGCGGCGGACGGGUGAGUAACACGUGGGUAACCUGCCCAUAAGACUGGGAUAACUCCGGGAAACCGGGGCUAAUACCGGAUAACAUUUUGAACCGCAUGGUUCGAAAUUGAAAGGCGGCUUCGGCUGUCACUUAUGGAUGGACCCGCGUCGCAUUAGCUAGUUGGUGAGGUAACGGCUCACCAAGGCAACGAUGCGUAGCCGACCUGAGGGGGUGAUCGGCCACACUGGGACUGGGCACCGGCCCAGGCUCCUACGGGAGGCUGGAGUAGGGAAUCUUACGCAAUGGACGAAAGUCUGACGGAGCAACGCCGCGUGAGUGAGGAAGGCUUUCGGGUCGUAAAACUCUGUUGUUAGGGAAGAACAAGUGCUAGUUGAAUAAGCUGGCACCUUGACGGUACCUAACCAGAAAGCCACGGCUAACUACGUGCCAGCAGCCGCUGUAA
rnacentral:rRNA from 1 species